GGGGGUGUAGCUCAAUUGGUUAGAGCGUCGGCUUGUCACGCCGAAGGUUGCGAGUUCAAGUCUCGUCACCCUCGCCA
rnacentral:tRNA from 1 species